rnacentral:rRNA from 1 species
GUGCCAGCAGCCGCGGUAAUACGGAGGGUGCGAGCGUUAAUCGGAAUUACUGGGCGUAAAGCGCAUGCAGGUGGUUUGUUAAGUCAGAUGUGAAAGCCCGGGGCUCAACCUCGGAAUUGCAUUUGAAACUGGCAGGCUAGAGUACUGUAGAGGGGGGUAGAAUUUCAGGUGUAGCGGUGAAAUGCGUAGAGAUCUGAAGGAAUACCGGUGGCGAAGGCGGCCCCCUGGACAGAUACUGACACUCAGAUGCGAAAGCGUGGGGAGCAGACAGG